CCUACGGGAGGCAGCAGUGGGGGAUAUUGCACAAUGGGGGAAACCCUGAUGCAGCGACGCCGCGUGAGUGAAGAAGUAUUUCGGUAUGUAAAGCUCUAUCAGCAGGGAAGAAAAUGACAGUACCUGACCAAGAAGCCCCGGCUAACUACGUGCCAGCAGCCGCGGUAAUACGUAGGGGGCAAGCGUUAUCCGGAUUUACUGGGUGUAAAGGGAGCGUAGACGGUUAUGUAAGUCUGGAGUGAAAGCCCGGGGCCCACCCCCGGGACUGCUUUGGAAACUGUGUAGCUGGAGUGCAGGAGAGGUAAGCGGAAUUACUAGUGUAGCGGUGAAAUGCGUAGAUAUUAGGAGGAACACCAGUGGCGAAGGCGGCUUACUGGACUGUAACUGACGUUGAGGCUCGAAAGCGUGGGGAGCAAACAGGAUUAGAUACCCGAGUAGUC
rnacentral:rRNA from 1 species